rnacentral:ncRNA from 1 species
AAAACAAUAACGGAGGUGUCCAAAGGUCAGCUCAGUGUGGACAGAAACCACACGUUGAGUAUAAGGACAAACGCUGGCUUGAUCUUGAUAUUCAGUACGUAUCGGGACGGCUAACGCCUGGC